rnacentral:rRNA from 1 species
UACUGUUGUAGUUAAAACGCUCGUAGUUGACCUAAGGUCUGUGAGUCUGUGCUCGGUCGUUGUCCGCUUCCAAGGCCCCUGUGUUAUAACGAGGGCUUCAGUUGCGGUUCAAAGAUCCUUGGUGAGAURCCUCCUUUUGGGGGAUAUCGCGAGUGCUUUCUUGCAGUCCACUCCUUGCCAAUUUAUUGGUAAGGCAUUUUGUACAACUGUAAACAAAUCAAAGUGCUCAAAGCAGGCAUUGUUAGGGGUUUCGGCCUCGAAUUUGCUCGCAUGAUUUAGCAUGGGAUUGUCUUAUAGCCGUGGUCGAAUCCUGUCUUCGGGCUGGUGAAGACCAUUGGCGCUUGUAMUGCGAAACAGGGAGAGGGCUCAAGAACUAUAGUGCUAGAGGUGAAAUUUAGAUACCACUAUAUGUCUAACUGAUGCGAAAGCUGUUAUUGCCCACUACAUUUCAGUCGAUCAGGAACGAAAGUUAGGGGAUCGAAGAUGAUUAGAUACCGUCGUAGUCCUAACUAUAAACGAUGCCAACAAGAGAUUGGUAGUGAAACCAUAAAUGAUCCUCUCAGAAUCCAAGGGAAACCUCAAGUUUUUGGGCUCUAGGGGGAGUAUAGUCGCAAGGCCGAAACUUAAAGGAAUUGACGGAAAGGCACCACCAGGAGUGGAGUUUGCGGCUUAAUUCGACUCAACGCGGGAAAACUCACCAGGUCAGGACRGAGGUAUGAUUGACAGGUUGAUAGUCUUUUCUUGAUUCUCUGGAUGGUGGUGCAUGGCCGUUCUUAGUUCGUGGAGUGAUUUGUCUUGUUAAUUCAGUUAACGAACGAGACCUUAACCUAUUAACUAACUAUAAGCUGGGCUUCGGCUCAGUUCGUUUAUUCGGUCGACUCGUAUGGGUCGUCCUUAAAACUUAUAAAAAGAGAUUCACUUCUGUGUUUCUCCGCUUCUUAGAGGGACAAUACUUCGUUUUUUUUAGAGUAAGGAAGUUUAAGGCAAUAACAGGUCUGUGAUGCCCUGAGAUGUUCUGGGCAGCACGCGUACUACACUGUUGAUACUAACAAGUUAGUACAAAGUAGUUACUUUUGUGACUACUAGCCUUCUCCUUAAAGGAGUGGGAAAUCUUAUCAAACAUUAACGUGACGGGGAUAGCUGUUUGGAAUUCCAACUUGAACGAGGAAUUCCUAGUAAACGCGAUUCAUCAUAUCGCAUUGAUUACGUCCCUGCCUUUUGUACACACCGCCCGUCGCUCCUACCGAUGGGAUAAGCAGGUGAAUUUGACGGACAGGAAUAUUUGUUCUUGAAAAUUAACUGAACCUUUUUAUUUGUAGGAAGGAGAAGUCGUAACAAGGUCUUCGUAGGUGAACCUGCAGAAGGAUCA